rnacentral:rRNA from 1 species
UACGUAGGGUGCGAGCGUUGUUCGGAUUUACUGGGCGUAAAGGGCGCGUAGGCGGCCACCGCAAGUCGACUGUGAAAUCUCCGGGCUUAACCCGGAAAGGUCAGCCGAUACUGCGGGGCUAGAGUGCAGAAGGGGCAACUGGAAUUCUCGGUGUAGCGGUGAAAUGCGUAGAUAUCGAGAGGAACACCUGCGGCGAAGGCGGGUUGCUGGGCUGACACUGACGCUGAGGCGCGAAAGCUAGGGGAGCGAACAGG